rnacentral:rRNA from 1 species
CGGAGGGUGCAAGCGUUAUCCGGAUUCACUGGGUUUAAAGGGAGCGUAGGUGGGCUGGUAAGUCAGUGGUGAAAUCUCCGAGCUUAACUUGGAAACUGCCAUUGAUACUAUUAGUCUUGAAUAUUGUGGAGGUCAGCGGAAUAUGUCAUGUAGCGGUGAAAUGCUUAGAGAUGACAUAGAACACCAAUUGCGAAGGCAGCUGGCUACACAUAUAUUGACACUGAGGCUCGAAAGCGUGGGGAUCAAACAGGAUUAGAUACCCUGGUAGUCCACGCCCUAAACUAUGGAUACUCGACAUACGCGAUACACUGUGUGUGUCUGAGCGAAAGCAUUAAGUAUCCCACCUGGGAAGUACGAUCGCAAGAUUG